GAUGAACGCUGGCGGCGUGCCUAAUACAUGCAAGUCGAGCGAACAGAUGAGGAGCUUGCUCCUCUGACGUUAGCGGCGGACGGGUGAGUAACACGUGGAUAACCUACCUAUAAGACUGGGAUAACUUCGGGAAACCGGGGCUAAUACCGGAUAAUAUAUUGAACCGCAUGGUUCAAUAGUGAAAGACGGUUUUGCUGUCACUUAUAGAUGGAUCCGCGCCGCAUUAGCUAGUUGGUAAGGUAACGGCUUACCAAGGCAACGAUGCGUAGCCGACCUGAGAGGGUGAUCGGCCACACUGGAACUGAGACACGGUCCAGACUCCUACGGGAGGCAGCAGUAGGGAAUCUUCCGCAAUGGGCGAAAGCCUGACGGAGCAACGCCGCGUGAGUGAUGAAGGUCUUCGGAUCGUAAAACUCUGUUAUUAGGGAAGAACAAAUGUGUAAGUAACUAUGCACGUCUUGACGGUACCUAAUCAGAAAGCCACGGCUAACUACGUG
rnacentral:rRNA from 1 species